UAGGGAAUCUUCGGCAAUGGGGGCAACCCUGACCGAGCAACGCCGCGUGAGUGAAGAAGGUUUUCGGAUCGUAAAGCUCUGUUGUAAGAGAAGAACGUGUGUGAGAGUGGAAAGUUCACACAGUGACGGUAACUUACCCGAAAGGGACGGCUAACUACGUGCCAGCAGCCGCGGUAAUACGUAGGUCCCGAGCGUUGUCCGGAUUUAUUGGGCGUAAAGCGAGCGCAGGCGGUUUAAUAAGUCUGAAGUUAAAGGCAGUGGCUUAACCAUUGUUCGCUUCUGAAACUGUUAAACUUGAGUGCAGAAGGGGAGAGUGGAAUUCCAUGUGUAGCUGUAAAAUGCGUAGAUAUAUGGAGGAUCACCGGUGGCGAAAGCGGCUCUCUGGUCUGUAACUGACGCUGAGGCUCGAAAGCGUGGGGAGCAAACAGG
rnacentral:rRNA from 1 species